UAAAAAGCGUUGAACGGGAGGAGUAGGGGGCCCUUUCCUUUUAAGAGAAGAUGCGGCCGGUGCAAGCAUCUAGGAAAAUCCCUUGAAGUCGCCCGGGAGCUGGCGUGCUGAACCAAAGUAAGCCCGCCCGUUUGGCUCGUUACGUCCUCAAGUUGCCCAAGCAAUUGGGAAAAUAGGUGGUACCGCGACCGAACUCGUCCUAUCU
rnacentral:ncRNA from 1 species